rnacentral:rRNA from 1 species
UACAGGGGGGGCAAGCGUUGUUCGGAAUUACUGGGCGUAAAGGGUUUGUAGGUGGCCACUUAAGUCAGGGGUGAAAUCCUGGAGCUCAACUCCAGAACUGCCUUUGAUACUGAGGAUCUUGAGUUCGGGAGAGGUGAGUGGAACUGCGAGUGUAGAGGUGAAAUUCGUAGAUAUUCGCAAGAACACCAGUGGCGAAGGCGGCUCACUGGCCCGAUACUGACGCUGAGGCACGAAAGCGUGGGGAGCAAACAGG